rnacentral:rRNA from 1 species
GAUGAACGCUGGCGGCGUGCUUAACACAUGCAAGUCGAACGAGGUCCAUGGAGCUUGCUCCGGAAGACCUAGUGGCGAACGGGUGCGUAACACGUGAGAAACCUGCCCCGAUCUCUGGGAUAACAGUUGGAAACGACUGCUAAUACCGGAUGCCGUCACACCGCUUCAUGGCGGAGUGCCGAAAGAUUUAUCGGAUCGGGAGGGUCUCGCGGCCUAUCAGCUAGUUGGAGAGGUAACGGCUCACCAAGGCAUCGACGGGUAGCUGGUCUGAGAGGAUGAUCAGCCACACUGGGACUGAGACACGGCCCAGACUCCUACGGGAGGCAGCAGUGGGGAAUCUUGCACAAUGGGCGAAAGCCUGAUGCAGCAACGCCGCGUGCGGGAAGAAGGCCCUAGGGUUGUAAAC